GGUAGAGUGGCCGAGUAGGUAGUGGGUUGUAGCCCCAAGGACAGAGGUUAAGCCCUCUCUUUAUCA
rnacentral:tRNA from 1 species